GAUGAACGCUGGCGGCGUGCCUAAUACAUGCAAGUCGAGCGAAUGGAUUAAGAGCUUGCUCUUAUGAAGUUAGCGGCGGACGGGUGAGUAACACGUGGGUAACCUGCCCAUAAGACUGGGAUAACUCCGGGAAACCGGGGCUAAUACCGGAUAAUAUUUUGAACUGCAUGGUUCAAAAUUGAAAGGCGGCUUCGGCUGUCACUUAUGGAUGGACCCGCGUCGCGUUAGCUAGUUGGUGAGGUAACGGCUCACCAAGGCAACGAUGCGUAGCCGACCUGAGAGGGUGAUCGGCCACACUGGGACUGAGACACGGCCCAGACUCCUACGGGAGGCAGCAGUAGGGAAUCUUCCGCAAUGGACGAAAGUCUGACGGAGCAACGCCGCGUGAGUGAUGAAGGCUUUCGGGUCGUAAAACUCUGUUGUUAGGGAAGAACAAGUGCUAGUUGAAUAAGCUGGCACCUUGACGGUACUUAACCAGAAAGCCACGGCUAACUACGUGCCAGCCGCCGCGGUAA
rnacentral:rRNA from 1 species